AUGAACCAUAUGUUUGUAUAUGAUAAAUAUUCGAGUCAAAUGAGCGAUUUAAAUAUAGAAUUGACAUAUAUAGAAUUUAUUUUAGUAUUUUUUUGUGAAUAUUUUUACUUUCUUUUAACUCCUUGUAUAUAUUUGUUUCCAUUAUUAAAUACAUCUAUACUACAUAACCCUGGGUCAGAUUUUGUAGAUAUCCUUAACAAGGAUUUGCAACAUAAAUUGUUGCAUAUUCUUUAUUAUCAUAAAUUACAACUAAAAAAUUUAAAUUACUUCAAUUUGAAUAUUUCAUUAGAUUGUAGAGUUUUGGAAAAUAUCAAAAAUAACAAUGUGCAUAUACGGAAUGGAAACAAAAAUAAAACAUUUUUUCAGAAUCAAAUAAUUAAUAAAAAAGAGAAAACAAAUAUAGGAAAAGAAAAGGGAGAAACAGAAGAAAAAAAAAAAAAAAAAUAUAUUUUUGAUGAUAUAAAAAACGAUUGUAUGAUUGAAGAUAUUGUAAUUGUAUUUAGAAUAAUCCAAAAUAAGAAUACGAAGCAUGUUAAUGUCUGUAAUUUGUUUAUUGAAUAUAUCCAUGUGAAGUUAAAUUUGACUUCCAAUGAAAAUGAUGAUAAUGAGAAUGUGAGUCAGCACAGUCGUAAUAAGAAUGACGACAGUAGUAUAAAUGAUAAAAAUGAAAAUAGUUAUACAGAAAUGGAAUUAGUAUAUAAUAUUAACACAACAUUUCAAGAAUUGUUUUAUCAAUUUAUUAUUGCUCUUAUGUCUCUUUUUUAUUUUUUAAAAAUUAUACAUAUUCCAUCAUCUUUUGUUCGGUCAGAAAAUGAUCAUAACAAUUUUUAUUUUUCAUUGGAAUAUAAUAAUAAUAGCAACUCUGAUCAAAAAGAAGAAAUUGAGGAACAUAGUGAUAGUUACUCCAAACAAGAAGAAAAGCAAAAAAGCAAAGAUAUAAGAUUAAAACUGUUACAAGUAAAUGAAACAGAAGAAAAAGAAAGGUUACUAAAGCAAACAUUGUUAAGUAAAGAAGGUGAUAUAGUAUCAGCACCAAUUAAUAAUAUAAAUAAUUUUUUUGAUAUGAAAUAUAAAAAUUAUGUUUUUGAUACAUUAGGUAACAUUAAUAUAAGGAAGCUGAUAUAUGGGAAAAAUUAUAUAGGUUAA
rnacentral:lncRNA from 1 species